UGGGGAAUAUUGCGCAAUGGGCGCAAGCCUGAUCCAGCCAUGCCGCGUGAGUGACGAAGGUCUUCGGAUUGUAAAGCUCUUUUGGCGGGGACGAUAAUGACGGUACCCGCAGAAUAAGCCCCGGCUAACUUCGUGCCAGCAGCCGCGGUAAUACGAAGGGGGCUAGCGUUGUUCGGAAUCACUGGGCGUAAAGCGCACGUAGGCGGAUGUGCCAGUCAGGGGUGAAAUCCCGGAGCUCAACUCCGGAACUGCCUCUGAUACUGCACGUCUUGAGUUCGAGAGAGGUGGGUGGAAUUCCUAGUGUAGAGGUGAAAUUCGUAGAUAUUAGGAAGAACACCGGUGGCGAAGGCGGCCCACUGGCUCGAUACUGACGCUGAGGUGCGAAAGCGUGGGGAGCAAACAGGAUUAGAUACCCCCGUAGUCCCUGAGCGGGCUGGCAAGGCGCAU
rnacentral:rRNA from 1 species